ACAUGCUGAUGAGAUUAUAUAUCUCAUCUGGCCUUGGAACACAUCGGAAUCCAGAGGAGCUGGAACGCGUCACCGGGGAGAGGGACGUCUGGACUACCUUGCUGAACCUUUUGCCAUCGCGACCCGACCCCUGAUAAGCAGAUGAUAAUGGAUGGAUGCAUGGAUGGAUGAUUAAAUGGCCCUGAGGGGACUAGAGCUGAUUAACUUUGCCUGAGAGGUGUGCUACACGGCACCAGCCUAUUACAGAGGAGGAGGAGUAAGCUACUGUGCAGAGUAGCCACCAUCACCACCGACCAGCCCAGGAGUGACCCA